rnacentral:rRNA from 1 species
AAGGCCGAAGCUUGCUUCGGUACUCGAGUGGCGAACGGGUGAGUAACACGUGGGUGAUCUGCCCUGCACUUUGGGAUAAGCCUGGGAAACUGGGUCUAAUACCAGAUAGGACCACGUCUUGGAUGGUGUGGUGGAAAGUUUUUUCGGUGUGGGAUGAGCUCGCGGCCUAUCAGCUUGUUGGUGGGGUAAUGGCCUACCAAGGCGUCGACGGGUAGCCGGCCUGAGAGGGUGUACGGCCACAUUGGGACUGAGAUACGGCCCAGACUCCUACGGGAGGCAGCAGUGGGGAAUAUUGCACAAUGGUCGCAAGCCUGAUGCAGCGACGCCGCGUGGGGGAUGACGGCCUUCGGGUUGUAAACUCCUUUCGCCAGGGACGAAGCG